UAUGCACAUAGUUCACUCUGGCACUUGCAUUCCCACUGCAGUGCCCGCUCCUGAAUAAAUGUCAUUUUCUUUUAGAGAGCCUCUCUGUCUGUUAUUUAUUGACACCAAAAAACAGGCUGGGAAACAACCUGGGAGACAGCUUUUCUCGUUCUUGUGUUGUGAGGCAGGGGCUGUCUCAUGCACCCAUGUCCCCAGGAGUCAUAAUGGCCUGUGUCAUCGCAGUAGACGACAUCAGCAAAGGAGGCUUCAGUAACAGGGGCCUGUUAGUCUCACAGUGUACCCGGGAGAGAAGGUUCUAGGACACACCCGGGCCCCAGAGACUACAGCUGAGACAAGAAGAAAUGGGUCGCAGGGAGGAUCACGCGCCACCCUGUUUUUCCUGCAGAAGUUUUGGGUAAACACAAACAAAAGCGUCCAAAAUGCUUCAAAGGAUGAAGGGAACCAGAAUCGGGCCCCAUACGGCUUCAGAAAAUGGGGCAAGGACACAGACAGGAAACACAGAAACCUGCACAUUUCUAUGUAAAUGCCGUGGUUGAAAUGCGGCAAGGCAGCGGGAUCACAGGCAACAGAGCACUGCCCAGGGCGGCGUCGAGGGCUCCACUGGGGCCACCCCUGAGCUCAGAGCAGGCCCAGGCUCAAACUGCCCACCGGGAGCUGCCUGAUUCUCUCCACAGCUGAUCCGUGCCCAGGCCUCGGCUGGCGUUCCCAGGGCACAUCAUCCUCCAACAACCUCGUGAGGAAGCAUUCUAUCGCCCCUGCUUUAGAGUUGGGGAAACUGAGGCUCAGAGGACAAGUCCUGGCUAAUGAGACAUCACAGGAAGUCUCCUGGGGGGUCUAGAGAAGCCUGUCCUCUCUGGGAGGGAAAAAAUGUGUCCUGCCACCUUUCUUCCUUUUUGGGGUAUACUGUUGUGUGAGAUGUGAUGUCUGGAGCUGCUGCUGCCCUUCUGUGACUGUGAGGAACAUCAUAGCAGACACAUAGGGGCUGGUGUGGAGCUUAGUCAAAGGAACCCUGAGUCUUGAGCAUAUCAUGGCCCAGUUCCAGAACCUUCUCUCCCAGGUACAUUGUGAGAUUAACAGGCUCCUGUUAUUGAAGGUUCUUUUGGUGAUGUCCUCUACUGUGAUGACACAGGCCAUUAUGACUUCUGGGGUCAUGAGACAGGCCCUGCCUCAAAGUGCUCUCAGGAACCUUCUGAGCUCCUCCCACCCCAGGCUCUGCUCGGGGAAAACUGCCCAGCACACACACUCUUGCAGCAUGCAGACUCUUAAGAAAACUGUACAAUCAUGUUUUUAAAAUUACACAAAGAAGCACUGGGACAGGCCCCUACGAUCCUGAGCUUUUUUGUCCCCUGGCUCCUAACGCCAAAGAGCAAAUGGGAAGAACUCCUCUUCCCUCAAAGGCCAGGAGACGCCCACACUGAGGACCUCAGUGCUGGUGACACAUGCUUCAGAUAAUUACUCCAGUCAUAAAGCAGAAGGCAGCUGUGAAAAUGAGCGGUCAUGUGAAGACUGUGCAGUCCAGGUCAGCGAUGACUCCGUAGUUGCAUGCCCAGUGUUUCUUAAAGGCUGCGUUACUGUAUUUCUAAACUGUGACAAUUUCAACUUGUAAUUAUGACAUUCAGAGCACCACUCACCAUUCCCUUCCUUCCAAGGUUUUUCAGAAAAGACACUCAUGACAGUUUGUUUUCUAAACCCAAAUACCAUAUGACGGUGUGUGUGCACACAUGUGUGCGUGUGUAAGUGUGUGUCACUUUCUUGUUGCCAUCCCGGCAGCUGAGUGUGGGGCACAUUCAAUACAUUAAUAGUAGGAUUGUGGCUAAAGUCCAAUACAGCUAAAAUCUAGAGAGGAAAAAAAUUAGUUAGAAAUACACAACUCUUCACGUUUAGGCUUCAACUCCAAAGACACUAUAAAUUUGUAAAGUCAAAGUCUAGGGCUUGAAAAGAGCCGGUUCCAAGUUGGCUCUGCCAUGAAUUGCGAAGUGGAAGUGUAGGCUGGCUUCUCAAUGGCCUGGUUGCGGGGCCAGCCAGCUGGCUUCCCUGUUUAAAGAGUGGGACAGCCACUUUUCCAACAGAGCUCUGAGCCAAAGUUCACACUGUCAGGGUCAUGGACAGAGCAGAGACUAAAGAGUUUUCUUCUCAGAAGGUGCUCCCAGGAUCAAAGGGCUGUGACCUGGCAAUUUGAAGUUCCCUGCUGAUGGGAAAGACAGGACAGGCUUGGAAUUCAGCCCCUGGGGACAUGGGAAAGGGAGGAGAGAGGGGGUCCCUGUGCCUUUUGCUGAGAAGGAAUGGGUAGUUGGCAUCCAUUUCUUCAUUAGGGAGCCCCUGGCCAUGUCUCCAGCACAGCACUUAAAAGUAGCCCUUUCUGUUAAAAUUUAAAAUGGACAGCACAUCCAUUUACCUAGCCAUUCCCCUUGCAAAAUGAGCUAUAUAAAAACACUCAAAUACAAUAGGGACCCUAAAUUAAGAACCUCUAUUAUGAAAGAAUGAUGAAAAUAGAAAAUCACCAUUUGGCAAAUGCCACAGUAAUGAUUGCUGCGAGCAAGAUGACAGUAUGAGAAAAACAAGAUGUUUGUGUAGACUCAAAGUACAAAAUGCAUAUACAUGACAAAGGGAAAAAUAACACAGCAGCUGAGAAACCUGACAGAUAUCACCAUAACCAAGUGAUCAAAGUUAAUAUCACCAGUUGUGAGAGGUAUCAAUUUGACGUGUCUCUUAAUAUUAAUAUGAUGCUCUGAGAAGGGCUCAGUGUCAUUUUUGCAGUAUCUUUGCUAAAAAUGCAUCAUCUCAAUCAAAUCAUGAGGAAACAUCAGACAAGCCCAAACUGAGGAACAUCUACAACAUCACCGGCCAGUACUUUCCAAAUUGUUAUGGUCAUGGAGCAAGUGUUCCAGAUUGGAGGCAACACGACACCUUAAAUGCAAAAGGGGGCCGUGGACCAGAAAAAAGGAUAUUAAUGGGACAGUUGGCAAAAUAUGGGAAAAGAAAAACUGAGAGAUUAAACCUCGUUGCCCAUGGAUACAGUUCAACCAGAGGCUGAGCUGGGAAGGGAACCCAGCCUUCCUGCCCCGGAAACCAACAGGGUCCCAACCACCCAACACAAACUGUGAACCCCGCCUCUGCCAGGUACCAGGGGAACUGGUCCUGAAAUUGUGGGAGACGUCAGCAGCCUGGGCCCUUCCUUUGACCAGGGAGAAUCAGCCCUAUCUCAGGCACUCGGAAAUCUGGACACACAUACAGUGGGAAGACGACAUGAGGAACAGGGAGAAUACGGCCACCUACAAGCCAAGGAGAACGUCCUCAAAAGAAACCAAGCCUGCCAACACCUUGAUCUCUGACUUCCAAAAUUCAGAACUCUGAGAAAGAACGUUCUGUUGUUUAAGCCACCCAGUCUUGGUAGGGCAGCUGUAGCCAACUCGUGCAUGUAAUGACUCCCUCCAAACUGCUCAACAAUUCUGAUACACAGGAAUUUUGUAGGUAAGAAAACUGAGACUCAAGAGAAGAAGAUUCAAAGUCACACGAUGAGCGAGUGGUACGUUUACGUGUUGAAAUGCAGUAGUCCGACUGCAGACCCCACGCUACAUCCACGUGCUCAUGAGGAUGGGCGGAUAGUCUGAGAGCAAACAGAGCAGCCCCUGGCAGGCCCUUAGUAGCCACGGCCCUCAAGGGACAUGAACAACAGCAGGGAGGAACUAUCCCUACCCCGUGUAUGAAACCAGUAAGAUGAUUGAGGGCAAUUUAGGUAGGAUCCUCAACAGCAGGACCCAUGGGGAGGGCUCUUGUACAGAUGAGGAAACUGAGGCACAGGGAGGGGUAAAUGACUCGUCCAAAGCCACCCAACAAGUCAACAGGCAACCCUUGGCCACUUUGUUACACAGCCAGAUGGACCUGAAGCCCACCCCAGACUACGGUGGUGGUCUCUCCUUGGGGCCAUGUGCCCGGGACAGGCAGGCCCUGCGUCGGGAGACAGUAGCUGCCGACCGAGCCACGGAAGACCAGGAGCCGGCAGGGGCAGGGGCCUGGGCCGCAGGAGAGCGUCGGCAUCCAAGCGAGAUCUGCACGGCCCACAGCAAGGAGCCAAAUCUAACAAGAGGAAACAUGACCAGGCGGGUGUGAAGUCCUGCGCUGCAGCCCCCAAACCCAGCGGGCGAGCCCCAGAUGGGGUGUAGAGGUUCCCGCCAACAAUAAGUUCAGUGUGAGUCGAUGUGUGUUCGGGGCCUCCGAAAAGCAAAGGCCAGCUCAGGCUGUCUUACUAACCAAACAGCAUCAAGCACAAGCCUUGCUCCCCUCCACACCUGCCAGCCCGAGCGUGGUGGACUCUGGGAUGUGCCACCCAGAUCCCAUGUAACCAAGGGCUUUUUGCCCCCACUGUGGGAGGUGCCAUCAGCAGACAUCGUUCAGCUGCCCAGAGUCACCCAAGGUCGGGCUCUUCCCGGGCACCCCGUGUCCCGGGACUGGUUGAUGCAGAGCUGAAAGGCCCUGUGGCAUCCUGGCUGCAGAGCUUCCGGCCGGGUCCGUGGCAGCUGUCACGGCCUGCAUCACGCCCCCUCCCUUCCACGGGCAUCAGUCCUAAAGCCAUCCCUGACAAACGCCCUCAGUGUUAGACUCUGCCUCGGAAUCUGCCUCCUGGGCACUCCUGGUGUCGGCCGUGAGCCCCAGUAGGAAAGGCGCCCUGGGAGGACACGUCUGUGGCCGCUGUCGCAUGAGCAGAUGACUGAGCUGGGGGGGAGGAGAGGCUGACCUCAGAGCAGCGAGCCCCGUGGAAAGAAGACAGGUCACAGCCCGAGCUUCGGCUGUGGAGGUGGAGGGAGGCCCGGGGGCCCUCAGAUUCAGAACCGCCGUCUCCGCAGGGCAGGUGAGGACUGCCCGGAACGAGUCCUGCAGAUACAUCAAGUAGAAAUCAGCCGAGGCCACGUGGACAGGGGAGCUGGGCCAGAUCUGCUCGCGUGGCCCCAGAGGACCGAGUUGGGUCAGAACAUGAACCUACUGGGAGACAGGCUUCGGCUCCAGCUAAGGGGGCGCCUGCUAAGGAAGAGCUUGUCCCAGGUGCAACGGGCUGGUGCCCUGUCCAGGAAGGAUGAGCAGAGGCACGACACCCCCUUGGUGCGGGUGGGAAGAGAAGAGACACAAUUGGCCCUGGAAGAGCUUGGAGAGCCCCUGCUCUGUUGGAAAAGAGGAGGUGGAAACAUGGAAGGUUUUUAAAGGAGAAGGGAACCCGGUCAGAGCAGGGUCCCAGGGGCAUCCGCCGGGGACAGGGCAGAGGCUGGGGGCUGAGCCCCGUCAGGACAAACGGACAAAGUCCAUGAGGAUGCUCAUGGCCACAGUCCCCUGACCACCCCCUGUGAGGGGACUCGGCCAAUUGGUCCAAAUCAGGUCACCUCACCAGCAAAGUGAGUCUCUGCGGCUGUCGUUCCUGUCUGCCACACACCCGUCUACACACCCGCAGGGAGAUGUGCUUCUGUCCACGUAGGGACAGCUGAGUGUGUGCAACACCAAGGCCCGGUCGGGUUUUAGGGCACAAAAAUCAGUGGGAGCGUUUGGAUAGCAGAUAGAUUCGCCUGCCGUCCUCACAGUAGUUUUUACUGGAACUGCCCGUUCCGAGGCUCUACAGGGGAGGAACUUAAGUCAAGUUCAGGUCACUGGUUUUUAAAGGGAAGGGAUGAUGAUCUGAAAUCCCCGCAGCAACUGACCAAAUCUUUUUGCAAAAACACGAAGGUGACGACAUGGAUUCCAGGGCCAGCUCGAGGCAUUCGGAUCCCCGCCGGGGAAGACAGAGCGGCUCCCGCGUGACCCGCUCCAGGGGGCGCGGCUGUGCCGCAGGCAGCCUCCGGGCCUCCUCCCACUUCAUCACGAGCAUUCAUCUCCAGCACCUUCCAGGCGGGGAACUGCAGGGGCCAGUCUCACCAGCAACACCAGCUCAUCCCCAGCACGCUGGCCAGGAAGAGCUGGUGGGGCCGCUGAUGGAUUGAAUCUCGCAUUUGGAGGGGCAGCUAGGGGCGGAUGUGAUCUGGCUGAGCAGACCAUGUGGUCUGGAGCACUUCGACAGUGAUCCCCAACGGCUCGCAUUAACAGGAGUGCGAGAACGGACACGCCAGGAGAUGGUGCCAAACGCGUUCCACGGGAUCAGCAUUCAGGGACGAUCACAUUCAGGGAAGCCACCUGCUGAGAAACGCCCUGACCAGCAUUUUCACUGGGUGUAUGCCAUGAUCCAGGAAGGCGCCGUGCAUUUGUUCUGGAAAUGGGUACGGAACAACGGCCUUCAGUGUCCACCAAGGGCCACCAUGCCUUUGGCCAACAAAUGGCCUCUACAGACUCUGGAGCUUUCUGUGCAUCCAAGAUCAGGACAGGCCCCAGCAGCUGUGAUCUUCCUCGAAAGGACCGUCUCUCAAUGCCACCAACGAGCUCAGGCUCUCUGGGAAUGGGUCCAGAAGUAUCCACCUAUAGCCGGCUUCCCAGGGGACACUGAUGCCCUCUGGAGUAAGGUAGGUGACUCGAUACACUUCAUGGAAAUUGGAAAAUCAAGCAGUAAUAAGAGCAACCAACAUUUAUUGAGCACUUACUAUGUGCCAGGUGCUGUGCUAAGCCCCUGAUAUGUCUCCUUCCUGUAGUAAGAACUAUUAGUAUCCCUGUUUUACAGGUGACAAAAGCAGAGAGGGUAAAUAACUUCCUCCCCAAAAGAAAUGUGUGCUUAGUGACAUCGUUGCUGAACAUUGGAGUGUCAGGUCCUGUUUUCUCAAAGGCCACACUUGGAGAAGCACUGAUGAGAAUCACCACAUUCUCUCCCAGUUCUGGUUCUAGAAAGAGAGAGAAUCUGGCCUGCUCUUCUGUCCAUGCCAGGCCCCAGCAGGCCUAGUGACUGGUUGCUUUGGGUCACAUGCUCACCCCUGUUCCAGGCAGAUAUGGAGGCAAGUCCCACGGUACAAAACAGGCAGCCUAGGACCUCCUCCAAUGGGGGACUAUGUCCUUUAGAACAAACCAUGAGAGAGGCAGGUCCAUAACUGACCUCUCACAUAAUACACUCAAGUCCCAGCACUCAUCUCCUCCUCCUCUUUCCUUGCUAACCGACCCUUAGUUUUCUUCAGACUCUAGAUAUUAAAAUGUUCAAGAAAGGUGGGCAAAAUCAUAAUCUCAUUGGUCGAGGUGUGGGUAUGUUCAUUCAGUUCUGUUCAAUGACAAGUAAGAAGUCAGCCAAGGGGUUUCUGGAAAAACUUAUCAACUGUGGGGAAGGGAGAUGAAGAAGAGAAGGUGUGUUCUUGUUUCUGGACACAGUUGCAUGAGGAUAUGAUAGCUGGAGCUGGGGCAGCCAUCUUAGGGCCUGGGGAAGGCAGAGCGAGAGGCAGGGUCCUUGGGCAUGUGACACUGUUGAAUUAGCUGACUCUGGAGCCACCCACUUGCCAGGGCUGCCAGAAGUCCCAAGAGCAAUCACAUCUAUAUGAAUGCAAUUUGUGGGUUGCAAACUUCUAGGCAGACAAUGGGCAUUACUAUUAAACUGUCAAUAAUCGUACUUUACAAUGGAAAUGUCAUCAUAAUCCUGAACUAGCUCCAUCUCUUCUAGAACAAAAGGAGACCUGGCUCUUUCCCCUUAUGGUAUCUGCAUUUUUUUCUCCACUAGAUAACCUUCUAGACUGUGUCUGGGUCGGGGAGGGUUAGACUGGUCCAGCCUGACCGGCCUCUUGGUUUUGAGUUUUAUGCCCCUUGAGACUCAAACAUCUCAUUUCCAGAAACUUCAGCAUGGCACAUGCCCUGCGACUCCCACUGCUGACUGCCAAUGGAAAUGCAGCUCUGGGCCACGGUGACGUCAUACAUCAAUUCCACAAAUGUUCACGAAGCCCCUGUCACAUGCAAGGCCCCAGGCUGGCUGUGUGGCCCCUGGGAUGCCCUCACACACCCCAGGGUGGCGGACAGUGCCCGGGCAGUGGGUGGGUGAGCAGAGCCAGGCACCAGUUGCAACAGGAGUCUGAGCUCACACUGCAGCACCUCCCGCUCUGAGAAGCAAAGACAGAAUUUUGUUUGGGUAUAUUGUUUCCCCGAAAGCAUCUAGCCAGGGGCUUGAAAGGAGGAUUAGAAAGGCUCUGCACUGCGGGGGGCCUUGGAAAGAUCGUCUUGUCCCAACGGCGAGAACCCCAGGGCCUGGGAAGGGAAGGGCCCAAGGUGGCACAGCCAGCUGGUGACAGAGCCAGGACAAAAGCCAGGGCUUCUGUUUUUAAUUUUCUCCCAUCCUCCUGCAAUCAGUGGGGAGACGGUCCAGUGUUCGCUUGG